rnacentral:rRNA from 1 species
CCUACGGGAGGCAGCAGUGGGGAAUUUUGGACAAUGGGCGCAAGCCUGAUCCAGCAAUGCCGCGUGAGUGAAGAAGGCCUUCGGGUUGUAAAGCUCUUUUGUCAGGGAAGAAACGGUGAGAGCUAAUAUCUCUUGCUAAUGACGGUACCUGAAGAAUAAGCACCGGCUAACUACGUGCCAGCAGCCGCGGUAAUACGUAGGGUGCAAGCGUUAAUCGGAAUUACUGGGCGUAAAGCGUGCGCAGGCGGUUUUGUAAGUUUGUCGUGAAAUCCCCGGGCUCAACCUGGGAAUGGCGAUGAAGACUGCAAGGCUAGAGUUUGGCAGAGGGGGGUAGAAUUCCACGUGUAGCAGUGAAAUGCGUAGAUAUGUGGAGGAACACCGAUGGCGAAGGCAGCCCCCUGGGUCAAAACUGACGCUCAUGCACGAAAGCGUGGGGAGCAAACAGGAUUAGAUACCCUGGUAGUCCACGCCCUAAACGAUGUCUACUAGUUGUCGGGUCUUAAUUGACUUGGUAACGCAGCUACGCGUGAGUAGACGCCGNGGAGGUACGGUCGCGAGAAUAAACUACGAAGAAGUAGAGNGNGAGAGNGCGAGACGACGACGAGGGAGGAGG